UACGUAGGGGGCAAGCGUUGUCCGGAUUUAUUGGGCGUAAAGAGCGUGUAGGCGGUUUGGUAGGUCCGUUGUGAAAACUCGAGGCUCAACCUCGAGACGCCGGCGGAAACCAUCAGGCUAGAGUCCGGAAGAGGAGAGUGGAAUUCCCGGUGUAGCGGUGAAAUGCGCAGAUAUCGGGAGGAACACCGGUGGCGAAGGCGGUUCUCUGGGCCUGUACUGACGCUGAGGAGCGAAAGCGUGGGGAGCGAACAGG
rnacentral:rRNA from 1 species